GAGACAACCUUAUGGGGCCAGACUUGCUUCAGUGGGGCUUUGGUGCUCACUGAGUCUGCCCCCUGAGUGUGUCCCU
rfam:Myotis davidii contig122422, whole genome shotgun sequence.